rnacentral:rRNA from 1 species
UACGGAGGGUGCAAACGUUGCUCGGAAUCAUUGGGCGUAAAGGGCGCGUAGGCGGUGGCGUAAGCGUGCGGUGAAAGCUCGGGGCUCAACCCCGAGUCGGCCGUGCGAACUGGGCCACUGGAGCAGAUCAGAGGCAGGCGGAAUUCCGGGUGUAGCGGUGGAAUGCGUAGAGAUCCGGAAGAACACCGGUGGCGAAGGCGGCCUGCUGGGAUCUUGCUGACGCUGAGGCGCGACAGCGUGGGGAGCAAACAGG